CCAAACUGGUUGUGACAGAAGAGUCCAAGUUGUUGCUACAUGGCGUGCCUGAAGUUAAUACUCAGCGUUUCUGCUUUGAAAUGGUGACAUUUCCAUUAAAAAAGCCUGGUAAUCGAAUCACCCUGAACGCCAGCGUCUGGCUUUGGAGCUGAGAUUCUAUCUACAGCGGCAUUUAACAUAAACUGCUGCAAUCAGAAGAAUCUAAAUGGCCAUUUGAGUGUGAAGACUAAGGUCAAGAAGGACAACAAAAGAUCAAAUGAGAGUCUUGGAGCCGAACCUGGAGAUAAUCCUGGAAAUGCUCAGUGAACAGAAGAUCAUCUACCAAUUAUACAAAGAUAAAGAAAAUCAGAGAACAUUAGUUAAGAUUGUUUUAUUAUUAAUGAAAUUGAAUUGAGUUAUAAGGAGUUAGAAUGUGAAGAUGAUUUCUUUGUAUUGUUAAAUGUACUUGUUUCAAUUUUACUGCUUCAGAAUUGCAGUAGGAAAUGUAUUUCAGAAAGAAUAAAAUAAAUUUGUAUUAAUUAUAGAAUAGAGGCACACUCAAAGCUCUUCUAAAAUAAUGUCCUCCCUAGACUUCUUUCAGCAUCUCUUCUUUCUGCCUAUUUUUCUGUUUCUCCUUCCCUAACACUGUCAUCUUCACUGUGAGUUGGCAAAAUCCCCACCAUCUCUGGUGCCAAAACUUCCUCUGCAGCUCUGCAAGCUAAAACUGUCAGUCUAAAACUCCUUAUUUCAGCACUUUUUGUGAUCUCUUCUUGGCUAGGCAAUCUGCAGCAGGACUCGGGACACCUCUGUGAGCUUCAUUGCAGCUGUCAGUUUAUCCCAGAUGAAAACUGCCAUUCUCCAUUCUCUUCUCCUCUUCACUCCUACCACUUUAGUCAUUUUUGCCUUUGCUGCUCUAUUUAAUGCAAGUGUUGUAGGGGCACUGUUUGUAUGAAAUACAUGAUGUGAGACAAAUUACAUGCUAAACAGCCAAGAGAGUGUCAGUGCCCUUCCUUCCACACAUCCUCCUGAGUCAGUGAAAGUGGCUGUCCUACAGAAUGCUCAGAAGUCAGCUCUCUAAUGCAAUAGCAGUCUGUUUGUGUUGACAGCCAGAGAUCCAGCUUUCUGAGGCUGUGAGUGACUUGUCUUUCAUGGUGAAUCGAAAUGAGAUGAAGGUACCUUGAACGUAGUGACUUUCACAGCCAGCUAGGACUAUCUUUCUUUGACAAUGCAGCCCAGGAGCAUCCUAGGUGAAGCUCUCUACCUCAGCACAAAAGUCUGGGAAACAAGGGAAGAAAAUACCUCAAUGAGGGAAGGGUGAUAGCAUUGUGUGUGGCUCCCUCAGUCCACAAUUUGCCCUGCAUGAGUGGAGAGAAAAAACUAUUUCCCCAGCAGUGAGACUCAAGCACUCUGAGGAACAAGAUUUCCUGGUUCCUAGUCUUGAAUUUCUUCUGAAAUGAAAUUCUGCCUACUCUCACAGCUUCCCACUUCAACCUUUGCUUUUCAUUGCAGAUAUUGAAAUCGCCGUUCUGUUUUGACGCUCAGAAAUGGUCUAAUCAAUAUCACUGGAAAUGUCAUUUAACUUCUCACUUGGACAAAAGGAGAGAGGAGAGAAAAGGAUGAAAUCACAGAAGACUGCUGCUUCAGAAAUCAGGAAAUCUCAGCAGCUUAAAGCCAGAGCUCUACUGGGAUGUAUUCAGCUUCACUCUCAGCCUGAGAAGUCUGGAACAGUGUGGGACUUCUUUGGACUUCUGAGUGCUGCUCAUUAAAACUUUGUAUAAACUUUGGCCCACUUUGAGAUUCUUCUGUGUUACUGCCGACUGAGGUAUUAAGCAGCUGUAAAAUCUAAUGUGUGAUAGAAAUGACUAAUGUAUAAAAACUUGCAUUCAUGUAACCUUCAAAUUACAAACAAUAAUGCUUUUAGAAAAAGAGGAAAUAGGAAAAUUUAUGGCAAAGUCAGCUGUUAAUUCUCUUCCAUUUGCUCCAUUACAUGAAUUAUGACAUAGGAUUUUUCUGCCUGUUAUUUUAUUUCAUCUUUAUUCCCAUUGACUGCUAUAAAAUAAGAGCAUUACAGCAAAUUAUCUGUAAUCAUAAGACUACCUAUUUUUUCCUUCAAAUGAAGUAGUAUAAUCCCAUAAAUACAGCUGGGCAUGCACCAGAUUUCUCCUCUACAGAAAAAUCUUUAAUUAAAAAAUCCUAAUCCAUGAUAGAAUGAAACCCAAAAUGAUAAGAGGAAUUAAAUUCUGAAAUAAAAUCAAAUGGCAUGGGUCUUUUAGUGUCAAAAUUAAACCAUUUUAUCUGUUGUUUGACUUGCUGCAGGAUGUUGCAGUUGCUGGAAGUUCAUAUAAGUUCAAAGUGCAUUUCAAUACAUUAAGAGAGGAAGAAUCUGUUGAAGUCCAUUCAAUAACAGAGAUCCCUUCUCUGCCUCACAAAGUUUCUGAUCAGUAAACAGGUUCAGGCUGCUAAAAUGUUCUGUGAAUGUGUACCAAAGCAUUUCAUAGAAACAUAGAAUCAGUCAGGGUUGGAAGGGACCACAAGGAUCAUCUAGUUCCAACCCCCCUGCCAUGGGCAGGGACACCCUACCCUAGAUCAGGCUGGCCAGAGCCCCAUCUAGCCUGGCCUUAAACACCUUCAGGGACGAGGCCUCAACCACCUCCCUGGGCAACCCAUUCCAGGGUCUCACCACUCUCAUGGUGAAGAACUUGCUCCUCAUGUCCAGCCUGAUUUCCUGGAAGUGGAACUGUUCAGUUUUUCCCUAGAUAGCUGAUAACACUGCUGUCUGUCAGAGACACAAACCUUUAUCAUCCCUAGGUGGGAUUGGUGUGGUGGUCCCUUGGAACCUGUAAUGGUGGUCUGCCAUAACUAUUUUUUACUUGGCAUUUCAUUAAAUUAAAACAAUUAGGGAGCAAAAGCAAUCAAAACAUAGCAGUGAGUUGUGCUGUGCUGGAAGGACCAGAACACUCCCUUCUCAAUUAGCUUUGCAAAGCAGAAUGACCAAGCACUUUCCAAAGUGAAAGAGUUACACCAGGAAACAUUUUACAUCCAUUGUUCUCUGUCAGUCAGCUUGGAUUCACAAGCCUUGCAGUACACAAACUCUCAGAAUGAAACAAAAUUUGACAUUUUCUUUGCUUUGUAAGGGACUGGAUUUCCUUUGAUAAAGGUUUGCAAAUGGCUGGAAAUGACACAGAAAGAGAAUCAGAGAAUCAUGGAAUCAACCAGGUUGGAAGAGACCUCCAAGAUCAUCCAGUCCAACCUCUAAAGCUUCACAAAUAGAUUUUACAUGCUAGAGACAAACUUAAAACUGAUCAUAGGUCUUUCAAGAAAAGAAUGGCCAGAUUUAAGACUCCACUUUGAUAGUCUCCCAGAGACAUGGACUAGUUUUGCUAAGGUCCUAUAGCUGCUGUUUAUCUGUGCAUCCAUUCUGCAAGAUGAAACUCAAGGCCAUGGGGAGAAGUCCAUUUGCACAAAUGUGCAGAUUUUGCAGUAUCUGUUUCAGUUAUGGUUACUAUUAUGGAAGAACAAAGGGCUUAAUACAUAACAAAAAAAAAAUCAAAAGGAAUGGCAACACUUCUCUGAAUGGUCCUAGAGUAUCAAAACUAGGAUGCAUUGAGCAUCCUAAAUGGAGAAAUAAUUUGGAAAGUUUUCAUUUCAUUCUUAUUACUUUCAGUCUGGUAGGCUGUGGGAGAAGUCUGUGCUUAGGGGUCUCUAGCAUUAUGCUUUAGUCAUUAGUGAUGGGUGUUUACAGUUCUCCAGGUGGAAACAAAAUGCUAGACAACAGACAGCACCAUUGUCACAUCACUGGAUAAGAUAUUUUCCGUCUCCAGAAUUCAGAAGCACU